GUGGGCAGAUCACCUGAGGUUGGGCGUUCAAGACCAGCCUGACCAACAUGGAGAAACCCCAUCUCUACUAAAAAUACAAAAUUAGCCGGGUGUGGUGGCGCACGCCUCUAAUCUCAGCUACUCAGGAGGCUGAGGCAGGAGAAUCGCUUGAACCCAGGAGGCAGAGCUUGCAGUGAGCCAAGAUAGCGCCACUGCACUCCAGCCUGGGGGACAGAGCGAGACUCCAACUGAAAAAAGAAAAGGAAAGAAAAGAAAACUCUUAGACACACUGAAAUUACACAGAAACCCUGUAAGAACAAGAAAAAGAAAGGAGGGAAAUGCAUUCAUUAAGAAGAGAAACACAUUCUCCCAGCGGCCAUGGGCUUCCCAUUAAGACCUUCACCUGCGCAUUUAUCCUCUGGGAGGCAGCAGUUCCCUGCAAAGGAGGAAAGGACCUCAUGCGAAGCAUAUGGUAAAUAGUUAGUGACUGCUGCUUAACUCAGUUUAUCCUGACCAAUACACAGAACAGCACCAGCCACAAUUAGGUUGCUGGCAGAGGUGGUUGGGGCUAUGUGCCUGGAGUGAAGAUUCUGCCCAUUGGUCAAGAGACCUCCCUCUCAGAUGCUGGCUCUGCCCCUGCCUUUGGGGGUCGACCCUUGUACUCGCAGGACCUUAGGUGACU
ensembl:lncRNA HRG-AS1 HRG and FETUB antisense RNA 1